rnacentral:tRNA from 4 species
GCGGGCGUAGCUCAGCUGGUUAGAGCGCUUCCCUGUCACGGAAGAGGUCACCGGUUCAAAUCCGGCCGCCCGCGCAA